AAAGAUUAGCAUUUUAGACGUUUGCAGACGGGCCGGACAGAUAUGUGUCCUGCGCUCUUCUCAUCGUGGUCUGUUUAUUCGUACCCUGCCCAAGCGAAGGCGGUGAAGACUUCUGCAAACAGCCACCGAAGAAGAAUCAUACCAAGCCUUUGCCGACAGACUGCUUGGCUGACGAAAGGAACUUUGCAGGGUGAACGGUACUCUUCGAUACGACUGUGAAGAGGGCUACGUGAGGAAAGCGGGAACAUCUGGACUCAUCAAAUGCAAACUAGUUUGACCAGAAGUUGGUAUGGGAAGAAGCCAAGUCCAGCAUCCAGUGCAUAUGUAAAGGCACUAGAUAUGCCAUCUGUCCAGCAGAUUCAACUCAGACUCCCACAAUGCCCCUUCUGAGUGUCCAGAAAGAAAAAAGCCUAAAUCAACUGAGGCCCCGACGGCGGAGUUAGAACCCCCAGACUGUUCAGAAGGUUGUGACGCCACGCAAGCGCCGGGAGAGACCCCCAGUCCAGAGUCAGGCACCGCUAUCACCCCAGCUAGGAUUCUCUCCACCGAAAAAAGAUCACCAUGGUGAGGAUGAGUACCUUGAUUGAAAAGCAUUGCUGAUGAAGAAAGUGUUUUGUCCGUCUCUUCAUAAACGGAGUGACUAAGUUCAGUUGAGUUCUGGAUUUUAAUAAGUAUUAUCAAUCUGCAGAUUGGGAGAGAAAACCAGACCUCUGACAAUAAAUGACCACACAACACCAGGCUUAGGUCUCAAUCAUGUCUCUCCCAGCUCUGAAAGCCGGAGGACCAUCUUUUAUAGGGCACAAGAAUGUAAACAUAGAUUGUGACAGUCAGGCAGGAAUGACGUUACAACAGUCUCAGAGAUAAAGAUUCACUGCUCCCAACACAUGACAACUCUCACACCAGAGAGUUCAUAGUUGGAGCUCUCCUUGUAGUCAUGACAAGGACCGUUUAGCCAGUACUUUCUCCUGACCCGAACAUCUAUUAACCUGACACAUAGACACAAUAUACUGUUAUUAAUAGCAAGCUUACAUGAUAAACGUACUAACUAGUAUCCAAUGACUAGUUCUAUUGAUUAGUGAUUAGUGUAAGCACACAGGAAAUCCAAAUUUCAUCCACAUUGCACAUGGUCUGGCUUUCUCCAUUUAACAUUUGAGACAACAAAACAGUUGUUAAAAAAGGUAUAUUUUAUAUGACAAGUUUGAAAAGUCUAACAUUCUUGCUUUUUUUUUUUCAAACAGGCUCUGUUCCAACUCAGUGUGAGUGGUUAGGUGUCUGGUCUGCUGUUCGAACAAGCCUCCAAACCCCCACAUCUUCACUUUCUUUUUCCUGUCAGUCUUCUCAGUGUUUCUCCAGUAUCUGCUUUCACUCACUUUGAGUCAUGUAGCUAGUAAUACUACUCAUUGUGAUUCACCAACCCCUCUCUGACACAGGGAUGAAACAUCCAUUAAUGAAACUAGUCAAUCUCUCGACACAAAUAUGAUGACUGCUAGGAUUAUCUUCUAGGAAACAAAGUCCUGUCACGCUUUGCGGUUAUUGCGAGACUCUGCUCACCACCUUCAACUCAGUUCUACUGAUGUUCAGGUGGCCUAAAGUUAUAAGAUAAACUGUUUAAUCUGUUAUCUCUGUGUGUACCAGGUGCAGCUGGAGGGCUUUUCAUAAUAAUAGUGGUUUCCGUCGGCAUUGGAAUCCAUCUGAACCACAACCGAGGUGUCUACUCCAGGGCACGGCAGGAGGAACCAAUGGGCAUGGACCACAGAGGUGACACUCCAACCACGUCCACAACCCCACCCCGAGAACCGUAGCUCCUGGAAGAGGAGAUGGAGGACACUUCACACCUCUUUGUGUGGUAGACUUGAAACUUUGGAACUAACUUUGUGAAGGGCAUUGAAACAAACCAAAUCUAUAUUUUUAUAUAUAUAUAUUUCUAAACAGAAUAAACAUUGAACAUAUUUUUCUUU